GAAAGAAAGAGAAAGAAAGAAAGAAGGAAAGAAAAAAAGUUUAUUGGUGCUGGCAGCAUCUUACAAGACCUGGCGAGUUCUGACUGGCAAGUGUCAGUAGUUGUUAGGUAGGACUGGGAAUCUUGGAAUUAUGGUCAGGUUCCUGCAGUUUUGGAUUGGGUUUGUGAGACACUGUGCCAGGCAAGUGUUUUUGCAUAACUGGCUCGCUCUCCCUGUGCUUCUAGCUGUCCUUGUGUGGCCCAUGUGAUAAGCUGCAGUUUGGAAACAUUUCUUGUGAUAGUUCCUGUUAGCAGGCAAACAGGAGAGCCUCAUCUUGCAUGAGAGCCCUCCCUUUAUAGCCUUGCUGGCUCUGUCUGCUGAGGUUUGACCCAAGUGACUCCAUUUUGAAUCUUAAACUUGCGCACUACUCAUGUGGAAGAUUAAAAUGUACAUUUCAGGACCUGGUGCUUUCUCUUCCGUGUAUUCUCAGAACAGCUGUAGAGUGAACUUUGAUCUUACUUCUCUUGACUUCAUUAUGCGUAGAGCACACUCCCAUACCUGAAUUAAAUGACAAAGCAUUUUAUAUUAACUGACAAUGACUGAUGCCAUGGGCAAAUCCUAUUUCUAUAAAUGACUGAAUUUUCCUCUGGACUGCGCAUGAGGGGAGAAAGACGUCUGCAGUUUCGGUUUCCUGGAAAACGAAACCUGUCUCAUUUGUUGCCUGUGUCAAGGGGCUGUGCCUCAGUCGGGGUGGAGCUGCUUAAAAGGCCUGGGAUCAGCCCUUUGGGAACACAUCCAAGCUUAAAACCGUGCGGUCAGCUUCACAUUCUCAGGAACUCUCCUCUGGGCCACGGCAUUAACCCGAGCAGGCAUGGUGGCCUCUGCUCUCACCUCAUCAGCAGUGACCAGUGUGGCCAAAGUGGCCAGGGUGGCCUCUGGCUGGGCCGUAGUUUUGCCCGUGGCCAGGAUUGCUACAGUUGUGAUUGGAGGAGUUGUGGCUGUGGAGGCUGUGCCCAUGCUGCUCAGUGCCAUGGGCUUCACUGCGGCGGGAAUCGCCUCAUCCUCCAUAGCAGCCAAGAUGAUGUCCGCGGCGGCCAUUGCCAAUGGGGGUGGAGUCGCCUCGGGCAGCCUUGUGGCUACUCUGCAGUCACUGGCUGCAGCCCAUUCAGGAGCACUCACCCUCUGACAGCUGUGAAGCUUCAACACUGGCUUUCCCACCCACCAGGAGCCUCAAGGGACCCAAGGGAGACUGGAGUGGCUGCUCUGAGUUUGUGGAAAACAGUGGGCACAGAAAGGAGUUAUGAGCUGCGAGGACUGCAAUGAGCCCACGUGGGAGAUAGCUGGAGUGCUGUGACUUCCAAAGCACCUGGACUGGGGAAGGGAGGAAAAGAGCUUCUAUGUCCUGCCACUCUGCCCUCUGUUCUCCUGAGUCCCCAUACCAACCUCUGGGUCACCUACGGGACACCCUAAAUAGCCGCAGGGCAGUCCUAAAAGUGCUGGAACAAGAAGAUCAACAAGAAGAUCAAAACAAAUAACACUUACAUACACACACCAUGGUCAAGUCACUGCCCAUGUCUCAUUACAUAAAAUCCUCACGCCAUUCCAAGAAAGGUGACGCUCUUGGUCCUAUCUUACAGACGUUGUUAGAAGAACUUGUAAGAAGUUGAUCCAGAGAACCCAACUCCUGCUGCUAUUAAAGAUGGGCAUCUUUCCAUGGCUGAAAAUGAUCAACUUUGCAGGUUAUUUCCAGUAGAUCUGCAGCCUGAAUCUGGUUGCCUGCCCACUAGCUCUCUCCAGCUGCCUCCUUGAGCAAACAGCCUGCACUCAGGGAGGAAGCCUCCCCAGAUGUGAGAAUAGAUCUCUGCCUCCUCUGUGCUCCCCGCUUGUGGUUGGUGUCCAUCACUGCACUGAACAUAAUGCUCUGUGUCACUUUUGUUUGGGUAAGUGCCCAGUUUCUCCUGACAUCACAGUCUCCUGGGGGUCCGUGUGAACUCCUCCCAUCCACUGUAGCACCCGUCACAUGAACAAAGACUGGAGUCUUCAGGUGACUGAUAUAGUUUGGAUGUUUGUACCCUCCAAGUCUCAUGUUAAAAUGUGAUUCCUGUGUUGGAAGUGGGGCCUAGUGGCAGGUGUUUGGGUCAUGGAAGCGGAUCCCUCAUGAAUGACUCCAUCUCCUCCCCACAGUAAGGAGCGUUUUCACUCUAUUUGUUCACAAGAGAGCUGGCUACUUAAAAGAGCCUGGCAUCUCUCUUGCUCCCUCUCUCGCCACAUGACACACCUGCUCCUCCUUCCCCUUGUGCAAUUGUAAGCUUCCUGAGGCUUUCACCAGAAAUAAAUGCCGGCUUGUACAAAC